GUCUACAGCCACACUACCCUGAACAAGCUCGAUUUCGUCUGAUCUCGGAAGCUAAGCAGGGUCGGGCCUGGUUAGUACUUAGAUGGGAGACUUCCGAGGAAGACCAGGUGCUGUAGGCA
rnacentral:rRNA from 1 species